rnacentral:lncRNA from 1 species
CUGCCUCCUGACCACCCUGGUGUCUUUCCCAUGUGGCCCUAUGUGGUGUGCUGUGCCUUUAUAUGUAGGACUCGUAAGUACAAUAAAUGUUGUUUUCCUGAGCCUCUCCUGUGUCUUCUCCCAAGGCUACUCCUGACUGACCAUCACAUAAAAGAAUACAAAACAAUCUGAAAGUCAACCAAGGAAAUAGUAAUCAAGAAUAAUUCUGAAUAGACGUAAUUUCUACUUUAUGCAUGACUGUAAACCUUAACUUCACUGAACUAGACCAGGGAAUUGGCUUUCGCAUUGCUUGUUGGGCUUUUAAACCAGUGAAUGGAAAGAAUAAAAAGUUUUCUCCACACAACUUCUCGGAAGAGAUCUGCCCUGUGAUCUGCAAUGUCCUGACGUUCAAACUUCUAAGUCAUCUGUGGAGACCGCUCAACUGAUUCCAAGUGGAAGUACUAAGACUGUCAUUUCAGGUAUGACAGCUCCUCUCCCAACAGCUCUACUUUCUACAUCUACUCUCUACCACCACAAAACUUCUUUCAGUUCCAUGAAAGGGCCAUGUUUUUCUGGUCUCUUGGCCUAGGAGCAUGUUGUUCUUCUGCCAGCAACCUUCUUCAACCAUCUCCACAGGAUGACUCCUCUAUUGGAUACUUCCAUGAAAAGUCCAGGCCUGGGUUAUGUACCCUUCCCAAAGUGCACCCCAGACACCCAACAGUUUUUCCAGCCCAGACUCACCACACUGUGUGGUAAUUUCCUGAUCACUCAGUUGUGCUCCCCACAGACUAUAAGCUCUAUGAGGGCAGGGGCCACAGUUUGCUUGUUCACUACUAUAUGCUCAGUACCUGGUAAAUAUUAGUUGACUGAAGAAUGACUAUGUGGUAAUCUAUUCCAUUGGUGGCCUCCAGUGAACCAUGUCUUCUGGUAUUUACAUCUUGUGUGGUCCCCUCCAUUAAAUUUGGGCUUUAACCAACAGAAUGCUGCAGAAGCGACACCCUGCCACUUGUGCUUUUGUGAUCCUAGCCACCAGUAAGAAGCCCUGUGACCUUGCUGAGACCCUGAAGAGACCACAUAGAGAGGCCACUUGAAGGGCAAGGGGUCCUGACUCUACAUGGAGAGAGAAGCCCAGCCAUCCCUGUUUCCCAGCUGAGUCCUGACCAGAUAACUCACUACAAGACUGACCACAGGCAAGAACAGCAGAAGAGCUGCCCAGCUGAGCCCAUCCAAGAGUGCAGAAUUUCAAGCAAGUAAAAUGACUAAUGUUGUAAGCCACUAAAAUUCUAGGGUGGUUCUUACAUAGCAAUAUGUAACUGUGAUAAACUAAAUAAAUGAAUAAAAGGGAAUGAAGAAUUACUUCACAGAAUAAGUUUCAUGCAAAGACAUCUCAAUGUCUCUAAGAAACACUUCUAAGGAAGAGCAGAGUCAAGAAAAUAGCAACAGAACUAACAGGAAAUAGAGGAACUCAUACCACCAGCUUCCAUUUACAUUACAUCACAUUUUUCCUCUGUCAGUUUCUUUGGUUUUAAGAUAUUCUCCAAUGAAAAGAUAUUCCUACUCUUUUGUGAAAAAGAGAUUCUAGGUUUGACAUUAAAGUUAAGAAGUCCAACCAAGGAGGGGAUGUGAACACUAACACACAAAUGGAAACUGCUUAGAAUCCCAUGGCCAACCUAUCCCUGCUGUUCUAUUUCCUCUUACUUGCCAGCAGAGCAGAUCUACAGCUGUGGAUGAGGGCAUAGAGGCUGCUGUGCUCAGGGGAAACUGGAAUACUAUGGAGACUCCUGGCUUAACUGGGCACCAAAUGUUCAGUUCAGUGUGAAAAAUACCAUCCAAAGAUCAGAAUGGUUAAUUUUUAUACAGACAGUUAAUGACUUGUCAGUGAACUAGUAAAAACAAAAUAGACAGCUACUCAGUGCCUUUAACCCAGGCAUCCAAUCAGUUACACUAUACACAUAUGCACAUACACCCCCUAGAGACAGCUGAUACACACUGUUACAUAAUCCAGAAUAUUUUCUGGCUAGACUAUAUUUUGAAUCCUAAAUAUUAGCUAGCAACAUUAGCAUGCACAUCUCAGAAUGAGAAGACAGACUGCUACAUUUAUACUGGCUUGAUGGAAUCUUGGAUUGCUACUUCUAAUAAUUGCUUUUCUUCCUGAAAGAAAAAAAUCAUUAUGUAAGAACUAUGGCCUAAGCGAAGUAUCU